UCCUCGCUCAAAGAAUCGCAUUCAAAGCUCACACACAAAGAAGAUUCCUCUUCUUUUACGCAUUCGCUUUGGGAGAAAGUCCCCGGACAUCCUGCGCUCUUUUCAGAGUUCUUCAAGUCAGGCAAUGCGGAAACGCGCCGCCAUAGAAGCAAUUUGAUAGCGGCUUACGCCCUACUCCUACUGGCUCUUGUGCUCGCCGUCCGACAGUGUUACGCUGGUUACAAUGGGGCGUGCGGCCUGGGGUUGGAGGGGAGAAGGGGGGACUUCGGUCUUCCCUUGUAUCGGGUUGCCUUUCGUCGUGGUUCGAUAGUCAUGCGAUUGCCCCUUGUUCCUCGUGGAUGGGGGGUAACUCAAUGGGGCUCAUUCUUGAGGCGAGG
rnacentral:RNase_MRP_RNA from 1 species